rnacentral:lncRNA from 1 species
AUUGACAUUUGAUGAUGAAUAAAAGGUGUUUUAUUUAUGAGUAAAGUGUUGCUAUCUCUUGUCAAUCGUUUACUAUAUUUCUUUUGCAUGUUUUGACUUCCAGAAUAAUUUUGUUUGGUGUAACAUAUUAUUCAAACCUCCACAGUCGGUCAUAUGUCGGAAGUAGGUAUGAAUCAAGACUGUCAUGAUGGGUUGUAGAGGUCUAAGGUGUUGGACAAGGCUACAACAAUCAUGAGUGCUCAUAAGUUCUGAGCAUUGGACUCAACCCACGCUCACUGGAAUCACUUCAUGGAAUUCUAUCUCGAGUGAUCGUGAGACGGUAAUAUCAUAUAAGUCUUCAAACCUAGAGAUAUGAUUUGUUACUUACAAGUUGGUUAUGCAUUGACUGUACGAAACCGCAUUGGUAACUCGAUGUUAUAAAACGUACUUUUGUGUGUAAUUCAAUGAGUGGUAGAACAAACAUAUGAGUCGAAGUUUAUCUGUUCCUUCUUGGAUUAGAAGCUGAUAUCUGGGCCCCUCGAUGAUUUUGUUUUGACCCAUGUACCGGGCCCGGUCAGAACUAAGUUGGUGUGUUCAAUUAAGUUCUUUGUCAAACAAAUGUGAAAUCGGGAAACAAACUGCUGGACAACAAGAAAGACAUUGUUCCAUGUAUUUGUCUGGCUGAUAUUUAGAAAAGAGGAUUAUAUGAUCACUUAUGUUAAAUGGCGUAUCAUCAUCUUCUCAGUUCCGAGAGACCUUGAAAGAGCUACGAUUGUUGAUCGGUUCCUGAAGUACUAGAGAUAUAGUUAUUAGACUUAUCCAAGUGGGAGACUGUUGGAUAAGGUGUCUAAGUCCAUAACUAUUUCGGGCUUGUACUUGACCCGACCCGGCAUGGUCCAUUUGGGUUGCAUGGCACCAUGCAAUUGGAUAGACUAAAUGAGAGAAAUAACACUUGGAGAUUAUUAAUAUAUUAUAAGUUCUAAUAUAUUAAUAAUAUUAUUUGAUUAGUUGAUCAAAGAAUUAAUUUGGAAUUAAUUAAGUGAUCAAAGGAUAACUAAUUAAAUAUAUGGGUUGAUUAUGUAAAUCAUCCAUAUCUUGUAUAGUGGGCUAAGAGGCUCCAUGGAUUAUCAAGUUGGGUUCUACCCAUAGGAUGCUCCAUGGAUGCUCCAUGGGAGUUACAAACCCAUGGGUCAUGGAAAUGAAGAGUCAUGACACAUUAGGGUUUACAUGGUGUAACCCUAGAUGUGUCAACACUAUAUAAGAAGCAUAUUCUCCACCAAAAUCGGCNUGCUAUCUCUUGUCAAUCAUUUACUAUAUUUCUUUUGCAUGUUUUGACUUCCAGAAUAAUCAUGUUUGGUAUAUCAUAUUAUUCGAAUCUCCACGGUCGGUCAUAUGUCUGAAGUAGGUAUGAAUCAAGACUGUCAUGAUUGGUUGUAGAGGUCUAAGUUGUUGGACAUGGCUACAACACUCAUGAGUGCUCAUAAGUUCUGAGCAUUGGACUCAACCCACGCUCACUGGAAUCAAUUCAUGGAAUUUAUCUCGAGUUAUCGUGAGGCGGUAACAUCAUAUAAGUCUUCAAACCUAGAGAUAUGAUUUGUUGCCUAC